ensembl:lncRNA
CCCAAAAGGCCCUGAUAGCCCCCCAAAAAACCCCAAAAGUCCCCCAAAAGCCCCCCAAAAGGCCCCGAUAGCCCCCCAAAAGCCCCCCAAAAGGCCCCAAAAGGCCCCCAAAGGUCCUGGCAGGUCCCCUAAAAGCCCCCCCCAGGUCCCGGCAGCUCACAGCACUCACUUGUCCCCCAAAAGGCCCCAGAAGCCCCCCAAAAGGCCCCAAAAGGUCCUGGAAGAUCCCCAGAAGCCCCCCAAAAGGCCCCAAAAGGUCCUGGAAGAUCCCCCAAAAAGCCCCCCAAUAGGUCCCAAAAGCCCCCCCAGCAGCCCCCCAAAAGGCCCCAAAAGCCCCCCAAAAGGCCCUCAUAGCCCCCCAGCAGCCCCCCAAAAGGCCCCUGCAGCCCCCAAAAGGCCCUGAUAGCCCCCCAAAAAGACCCCAGAAGCCCCCCAAAAGGCCCCGAUAGCCCCCCAGCAGCCCCCCAAAGCCCCCCCCCAGGUCCCGGCAGCUCACAGCACUCACUUGUCCCCCAUGAAGGCCCCAAAAGCCCCCAUGAAGGCCCCAAAAGCCCCCCAACGCCCCCAAGAGCCCCCCAUGAAGGCCCCAAAAGCCCCCCAAAAGGCCCCGAUAGCCCCCCAAAAGGCCCCAAAAGCCCCCCAAAAGGCCCCAGAAGCCCCCAUGAAGGCCCCAAAAGCCCCCCAAAAGGCCCCCAAAAGCCCCCCAAAAGGCCCCAAAAGGCCCCAUGAAGGCCCCAGAAGGCCCCCAAAAGUCCCCCAAAAGGCCCCAAAAGGUCCUGGAAGAUCCCCAGAAGGCCCCAAAGCCCCGCGCAGGUCCUGGCAGCUCACAGCACUCACUUGUCCCCCCUGCAGCCCCCCAAAAGCCCCCAUGAAGGCCCCAAAAAGCCCC